rnacentral:rRNA from 1 species
GUCAGCAGCCAUGUCACCCUGCAACUCACCACUGCCAGCCCACUGAAGCUCAGCAAGCAUGAGCCUGGUCAGUACCUGGAGGGGAGACCUCCUGCGAAAGCUGAGGCUGCUGCUGGAA